UAGGAACAGACACCGACAUGGCGACGUC
rnacentral:sRNA from 1 species